ACCAACAUUGGAACAACGUACAUACCCACAGUUACUGUUACACAUGCACAGCUACACAAUGUGUAUUUGUAUCUUGUGUUGUGUAGUGUAGUGUUAUAGUGUUUUGAGUGUUUUGAGGUUAAAACAAGAGGAAACACCAGAUAGUCGUGUUCAGUGCGAAGGAGAGUGUCAGAAAGGCGAAAAAGAACGCAUGCUUUACCUUGAUGCGACUGACGGCCUCCUCGGCCUGCAUCAUGCGCGUCGUCUUCGUCGGCUGCCCUUCACACACCAACUGCGUGGAACCCAGGUAUCUAGCUCUGAAUAACACGCCUUCAAUGAGCACUGUCGGAUCCAAGAAUCCACCUGCAAGUCAAAUCUGAUUUGUAAUGAUGGAAAACAUGUCGGGGCCACUUGACCCUAGAUGGCAGUGAUACAAACAUGUACUACAUACAACAGCAAAGGAAGUGUGUUCAAGCUUGAACGUUAAGAGGGUUGUUAAUUCAAUACAGGAUAAAGUGGUACAAAUAAAGUAAUUAAAGUAAUGCACAUGCACACCCCCGCCACCUGCCUGGGCACAGAUGAUUUAAUGUAUGUCUACUGUCAAACACGCACGAACGCGUAUGGAUGCAGCAACAACCACUUACGGAUGCG